CCUACGGGAGGCAGCAGUGGGGAAUCUUGCGCAAUGGGCGAAAGCCUGACGCAGCCAUGCCGCGUGUAUGAUGAAGGUCUUAGGAUUGUAAAAUACUUUCACCGGUGAAGAUAAUGACUGUAGCCGGAGAAGAAGCCCCGGCUAACUUCGUGCCAGCAGCCGCGGUAAUACGAAGGGGGCUAGCGUUGCUCGGAAUUACUGGGCGUAAAGGGAGCGUAGGCGGACAUUUAAGUCAGAGGUGAAAUCCCGGAGCUUAACUUCGGAACUGCCUUUGAUACUGGGUGUCUUGAGUGUGAGAGAGGUAUGUGGAACUCCGAGUGUAGAGGUGAAAUUCGUAGAUAUUCGGAAGAACACAGUGGCGAAGGCGACAUACUGGCUCAUUACUGACGCUGAGGCUCGAAAGCGUGGGGAGCAAACAGGAUUAGACUACCCUGGUAGUCCACGCCGUAAACGAUGAUUGCUAGUUGUCGGGAAGCUUGCUUCUCGGUGACGCAGCUAACGCAUUAAGCAANCGCGNGGNGAGNGNGAGAUAAUANAAGAAGUUAGAGNGNGAGAGNGCGAGACGACGAGAGGAGAG
rnacentral:rRNA from 1 species